rnacentral:sRNA from 12 species
CAACAGGCUAACCCGACGGGGGACAAGCGGAAAUGCCUUGCCGCCUGCCUGUUGAUUUACAUACAUUUCAAGGC